rnacentral:rRNA from 1 species
AGUAUUAGGGAGACUUGAAACCUAAAAUUUUUGGCGGUCUUUUAGACUAGUUAGAGGAACCUGCUUUUUGAUGGAUGAUCCUCCUUAAAUUUUAUUUUCUUUUUAAAUACCGCCGUCAAUGACAGGUCAAGGUUUAGCUGAUGGGAAAGGUUGAAAGUGGAUUUAAAUGUUUAUGGAGGGAAAUUGAGCCCUAAAAGAUGU